AGAUUGCUGGAUCGUGAUGGAGUUGGAGGUGAAGAUGCUGGUUUGGAUGGUGAAGAUGAAGAUGGAUUUCUGAAGGCAUUUAAGGUGGCAAAUUUCGAAUACAUAGACGAAGUUAAGCCAGCAGAGGAGGUGGCACAAAAAGAAUCAAAGGAGAAUCAAUUCUCUGCUGCCAAUUUGAAGAAAUCAGCUUACUGGGAUGGCUUGUUGAAAAAAG
rnacentral:sRNA from 1 species